GAUGAACGCUGACAGAAUGCUUAACACAUGCAAGUCUUUGGCGAAGCUGUGCUUGCACAGCCUAGCCAAGGCGGACGGGUGAGUAACGCGUAAGGAACUUGCCCUGCAGUCAGGGAUAACAGACGGAAACGACUGAUAAGACCUGGUAAAGUCAGGCGGACUCAUGUCCAGCCUGAUGAAAAGAGAUGCUGCAGGAGAGCCUUGCGUCCGAUUAGCUUGUUGGUGGGGUAACGGCCCACCAAGGCGAUGAUAGGUAGCCGGCCUGAGAGGGUGGACGGCCACAAGGGGACUGAGAUACGGCCCUUACUCCUACGGGAGGCAGCAGUGGGUAAUAUUGGACAAUGGGGGCAACCCUGAUCCAGCAAUUCUGUGUGCACGAUGAAGGUUUUCGGAUUGUAAAGUGCUUUCAGCAGGGAAGAAAAAAAUGACGGUACCUGCAGAAGAAGCGACGGCUAAAUACGUG
rnacentral:rRNA from 1 species